GAUGAACGCUGGCGGCGUGCCUAAUACAUGCAGGUCGAGCGAACGGACGAGAAGCUUGCUUCUCUGAUGUUAGCGGCGGACGGGUGAGUAGCACGUGGAUAACCUACCUAUAAGACUGGGAUAACUUCGGGAAACCGGAGCUAAUACCGGAUAAUAUUUUGAACCGCAUGGUUCAAAAGUGAAAGACGGUCUUGCUGUCACUUAUAGAUGGAUCCGCGCUGCAUUAGCUAGUUGGUAAGGUAACGGCUUACCAAGGCAACGAUGCAUAGCCGACCUGAGAGGGUGAUCGGCCACACUGGAACUGAGACACGGUCCAGACUCCUACGGGAGGCAGCAGUAGGGAAUCUUCCGCAAUGGGCGAAAGCCUGACGGAGCAACGCCGCGUGAGUGAUGAAGGUCUUCGGAUCGUAAAACUCUGUUAUUAGGGAAGAACAUAUGUGUAAGUAACUGUGCACAUCUUGACGGUACCUAAUCAGAAAGCCACGGCUAACUACGUG
rnacentral:rRNA from 1 species